AGUAGAGUGGCGAACGGGUUAGUAACGCGUGGGAACAUACACAGCACAGGGGGAUAACCAUUGGAAACGAUGGCUAAUACCGCAUACGCCCUAUUGGGGAAAGAUUUAUCGGUGUUGGAUUGGCCCGCGUUAGAUUAGCUAGUUGGUGGGGUAAUGGCUCACCAAGGCGACGAUUUAUAGCUGGUUUGAGAGGAUGAUCAGCAACACUGGAACUGAGACACGGUCCAGACUCCUACGGGAGGCAGCAGUCGGGAAUAUUGUGCAAUGGGGGCAACCCUGACACAGCCAUGCCGCGUGAGUGAAGAAGGCCUUAGGGUUGUAAAGCUCUUUCAGAUGUGAGGAUGAUGACGAUAGCAUCAGAAGAAGCCUCCGGCUAACUUCGUGCCAGCAGCCGCGGUAAUACGAAGGGAGCUA
rnacentral:rRNA from 1 species